GAUGAACGCUAGCGGCAGGCUUAACACAUGCAAGUCGAGGGGUAACAGAAUUUAGUUUACUAGAUUGCUGACGACCGGCGCACGGGUGAGUAACGCGUAUACAAUUUGCCUUUUACUGAAGAAUAGCCCAGAGAAAUUUGGAUUAAUGCUUCAUGGUAUUAUUAAAUCUCCUGAUUUGAUAAUUAAAGCUCCGGCGGUAAAAGAUGAGUAUGCGUCCUAUUAGCUAGAUGGUAAGGUAACGGCUUACCAUGGCGACGAUAGGUAGGGGUCCUGAGAGGGAGAUCCCCCCACACUGGUACUGAGACACGGACCAGACUCCUACGGGGGAGGCAGCAGUGAGGAAUAUUGGGCAAUGGAGGCAACUCUGACCCAGCCAUGCCGCGUGCAGGAAGACUGCCCUAUGGGUUGUAAACUGCUUUUAUACAGGAAGAAACUUAUCCACGUGUGGAUAACUGACGGUACUGUAAGAAUAAGGACC
rnacentral:rRNA from 1 species